rnacentral:rRNA from 1 species
AGCAGCCGCGGUAGUUCCAGCUCCAAUAGCGUAUACUAAAGUUGUUGCAGUUAAAAAGCUCGUAGUUGAACUUCGGAAUCUGUCCGUUGGUCGGGCUUCAUUGUCCGUACUGGCGUGGUGGGUUCUUACCUUCUGAAUAACCAGCAUGCCAUUUACUUGGUGCGCUGGGGAAGCAGGACUAUUACCUUGAAAAAAUUAGAGUGCUCAAAGCAGGCCAGUGCCUGAAUACAUUAGCAUGGAAUAAUAAAAUGGGACGGUGUGGUUCUAUUUUGUUGGUUUCUAGGAUCACCGUAAUGAUUAAUAGGGAUAGUUGGGGGCAUUAGUAUUCAAUUGUCAGAGGUGAAAUUCUUGGAUUUAUUGAAGACUAACUUCUGCGAAAGCAUUUGCCAAGGAUGUUUUC